UACAGAGGGUGCGAGCGUUAAUCGGAAUUACUGGGCGUAAAGCGUGCGUAGACGGUUAUUUAAGUCAGAUGUGAAAGCCCCGGGCUCAACCUGGGAAUUGCAUUUGAGACUGAAUAGCUAGGGUGCGGUAGAGGGAAGCGGAAUUUCCGGUGUAGCGGUGAAAUGCGUAGAUAUCGGAAGGAACAUCAGUGGCGAAAGCGGCUUCCUGGACCAGCACCGACGUUCAGGCACGAAAGCGUGGGGAGCGAACAGG
rnacentral:rRNA from 1 species